GUGAAACAUGAAGAAGAGGAAUCCGUUCCUCUAGACGAGGAGGAUGAAGGGACAAAACCUGAAGAAGAGGAAUCUGUUCCUCUAGACAAGGAGGACGAAGGGACGAAACUUGAGGAAGAGGAAUCCGUUCCUCUAGACGAGGAGGAUGAAGGGACAAAACCUGAAGAAGAGGAAUCUGUUCCUCUAGACAAGGAGGACGAAGGGACGAAACUUGAGGAAGAGGAAUCCGUUCCUCUAGACGAAGAGGACGAAGGGACGAAACAUGAGGAAGAGGAAUCCAUUCCUCUAGACGAAGAGGACGAGGGGACGGGUGCUGAAGACGAGGCAGCUAAUGCAACUCCUACUGAAAUAGAGUCUGAAAGUGAAAUGACUGAAUCGGGAAAAUCCUCUGGAGGAAAGAGGAAGAGGAAGAAUACUAAGAGUACUGGGAAGUCCAGGUCUGGAGGAAGAGCAUCAAGUAGGAAGACUAUAGGAGAGGAUGUUUGCUUCAUUUGCUUUGAUGGAGGGGAUUUGGUGCUAUGUGACCGUAGGGGUUGUACGAAAGCAUAUCAUCCCUCGUGUAUUGAUAGGGAUGAGGAAUUUUUUCGUGCCAAGGGUCGAUGGAAUUGUGGUUGGCAUCAGUGCACUAUUUGUCAGAAGAAUGCUUGCUAUUUGUGCUACACAUGCACAUUUUCAUUAUGCAAGGGGUGCAUAAAAGAUGAUGUCAUCCUAUGUGUAAGAGGAAACAAGGGAUUUUGCAAGAACUGCAUGAGAAUGGUCAAGCUAAUAGAAGGCAUUGGUAAAGAAGAGAAUGAUGGUCCGAUAGAUUUUGAUGACAAGAGUAGCUUUGAAUAUCUGUUCAAGGACUACUUAAUGGAUUUAAAAGCGAAGCUAUCUUUAUCUUCAGAUGAAAUUGCUGAUGCCAAAAGUC
rnacentral:misc_RNA from 1 species